rnacentral:rRNA from 1 species
UACGGAGGGUGCGAGCGUUGUCCGGAAUCACUGGGCGUAAAGGGCGCGUAGGCGGCCUGAUAAGUAGGAGGUGAAAUCCUGCGGCUUAACCGCAGGGCUGCCUUCUAAACUGUCAGGCUAGAGCACGGUAGAGGCAGAUGGAAUUCCCGGUGUAGCGGUGGAAUGCGUAGAUAUCGGGAAGAAUACCGGUGGCGAAGGCGUUCCGCUGGGCCGUUGCUGACGCUGAGGCGCGACAGCGUGGGGAGCAAACAGG